rnacentral:sRNA from 1 species
GGAGCAUAUAAAGCGGGGUUGUAGAAAG